rnacentral:rRNA from 1 species
GACGAACCGUGCGAACGUUGUUCGGAAUCACUGGGUUUAAAGGGCGCGUAGGCGGGCUGUCAAGUCGGUGGUGAAAUCUUUCGGCUCAACCGGAAAAUCGCCUUCGAUACUGGCGGCCUUGAGGGAGGUAGGGGCAUGCGGAACUUCCGGUGGAGCGGUGAAAUGCGUAGAUAUCGGAAGGAACACCGAUGGCGAAGGCACUCUACUGGGCCAUUACUGACACUAAGAGACGAAAGCUAGGGGAGCAAAUGGG